UACAGAGGGUGCAAGCGUUGUUCGGAAUUAUUGGGCGUAAAGGGCGUGUAGGCGGUCUGGUAAGUCUUCUGUGAAAUCUACGGGCUUAGCCUGUAACGUGCAGAGGAAACUACCAGGCUUGAGUGUCGGAGAGGAUAGGGGAAUUCCCGGUGUAGAGGUGAAAUGCGUAGAUAUCGGGAGGAACACCGGUGGCGAAGGCGGCAUCCUGGACCAACACUGACGCUGAUGAGCGAAAGCCAGGGGAGCAAACGGG
rnacentral:rRNA from 1 species